AUUUAGAGGAAGGAGAAGUCGUAACAAGGUUUCCGUAGGUGAACCUGCGGAAGGAUCAUUGUCGAAACCUGCCAAGGCAGAACGACCCGCGAACUCGUUACAUGACACGGGGAGUCGUUUUACGGUUCCCCAUUCCCGUAGGGGCGAGAGCGCAUGGCGUUUCUCGCUUCGACGGUCUAACAACGAACCCCGGYGCGGACUGCGCCAAGGAAGCAUCAAUGGGAGUGCUUGCUCUUGUCGCCCCGGAAACGGUGCGCGUGUCGAAAGCAAUGCCUUCUUUUAUUAUAUCCAUAAUGACUCUCGGCAACGGAUAUCUCGGCUCUCGCAUCGAUGAAGAACGUAGCGAAAUGCGAUACUUGGUGUGAAUUGCAGAAUCCCGUGAACCAUCGAGUCUUUGAACGCAAGUUGCGCCCGAAGCCUUUAGGCUGAGGGCACGUCUGCCUGGGUGUCACGCACCGUUGCCCCCCCAAAAUGUACUCGUUUCUCAAGCGAGCAUCGGAUAGGGGGCGGAUAUUGGCCUCCCGUGUGAGUCUCUUCUCGUGGUUGGCUGAAAUUUAGGUCCUCGAAAGCGGAUGCCGCGACGUUCGGUGGUGGAAUGAAAAGGAAACCCUCGAGCUCCCGUUGCUGCGGCGCUAUCGAUCAUAGGAUCAUUUGACCCUACGAAAGCCUCACUAUUGAGGUGCACACGCAUCGCGACCCCAGGUCAGGCGGGAUCACCCGCUGAGUUUAAGCA
rnacentral:misc_RNA from 1 species